rnacentral:pre_miRNA from 1 species
CAUUUACUCCCUCCGUUCGGAAUUACUUGUCUUGAAAAUGAAUGUAUCUAGAACUAAAAUACGUCUAGAUACAUCCAUUUCUAUGACAAGUAAUUCCGAACGGAGAGAGUAGGUG